ACUGUUACGAUGGCAAGUGCUGGAGUGGGAGUUGCCUGCUGUGAAAAUUCCUGUUUUUUUCCUCACUGGCUGCAGGUCCUGAGCACACUUGGCCUCUUUGAGUCUUACGUUUCUCCUUUGUAAAGCAGGGACGAAGUCCUCCCUACUCCGUAGUUCUGAGUAAAUGCAGAGGAACUCUUUACAACUCUUAAGAUGAACUGGACAUGUCUCACGAUGUGCCCACAUCAACACACAGUCUGCCCUUUGGGUGGCUGAUGGGAGAGACCUCAUGACCACUAGAAUCCCAGGGUGUGUGUGGACACAGUCACUCGACAAACGCCUAUUGAUUCAGGAGCAGUUGGUGUGGUGAGAGCGGGAGGAACCUCGGCGAUCUGGGCACCUGAACCCACCUGCCCGGCUGGAUUUGUGUGGACCCGAGGGAGGAAGGACAAGCCCAGCUGAUUCUCGGCACAUCACGUAGAGGACAUCUCUCUGCUGUAUCCACAUCCCUAUUUGUAGCUCUGCUUGGGAAAGCCGCAAAGACCAGGGCGGAGGAAUCGGGGGCUUUUUGUGCUAAAAUCUGUCUUUUACCUGCUUAAAUUACAAUACUGAAUAAUUAUGUAUGUGCAGAAACUGUCAAAAGUAUACUUACAUUUUGCCGUGUGCUAAAAUUACUUUUCAUUAUGACCUAUUUGUACAUCAUUUGAACCAACUAUCUCAGCCUGGAAAUGUAAAUGUGUUUUUGUUUUUGCUCUGCGGGUUAGGUCAGCAGACGCCUGCAACAAAUAUGAUGGCAAGGGUGAAGGUGACAUGAUUUACUUAAAUCAGGCAAUUUCUCCAUUAAAGCAUCGAAGCCUCAACUCAUAAAGACACUCUUUAGUAGAUGAACUAUAAUGUUGCCCCGCAUUUGUCAUAUUAGGUGAUUUGAAAGGAAAGAACAAUUAUAAAAAUGAAUGUACUUCCCCGUUGAAGGAAGAAGAUCUAGUUUUUGCAGCAGGGGGUGGUUAAUUUUCCACAGAUAAAAACAGGUUUCACAGCAAUUCGAUAACUGUAACGUCCUACAAUUAAAACAUAGGAAGAAAAGGUUCCCCUGCCAAAGCCGACUGUCAUAGGAAUUAGUUGUUCGGGACCGGCAUCGAAGGUUAUUCUGUUCCCCGUAGGAACAGCUCCAUUGCCAUAAACUGUGUCGGUGUGUCCCCCGCCACCCCCCCCACCUCACCCCGUUUCUGAGCUGCUUUCAAUUAGCAGGGAUUAUUAAACUGGAAACAUUUUCGCUGCUGCCGAAGCUGCUUUUCUGCGUUAUGAGCUGAGCUAGAGGCGUCACAAUAAAAGCUGAUGGAUUAGCAAAGAAUGUACUUACAGCAACUGAUGCCCAGUGUCAUUUUCCAUGCAUGUCGCCACCUCUCCUGCCCCCUGGAUUUCGUGUUUCUGUUCAGAGAUUAACCUUGGUUUCUCUCUCUGGAAACUUCGGCAGGCUGGAGGCUCUCAACUUCCACCUCGACUGCCUGCUUCAAGCCUCAUAUCCUCCCCACCCGACCCGGACCCCCAAAAUCCAGAGACCUCCCCUCCAAAUUCCCAGAGGGAAGGUAUUAGGUUCCUGUGACUUUUUUUUCUUUCGUGUUUAAUUGCCGGCACGUUAGAAUGACAGCAAUGGUAACACACCUCUGGAGAACACAGGCCACAGCGCAUGGCCGUGGUGGAGGCAGGUGUCUGGGUCCCAGUGGAGGGUUGAAAACACUGCAGCCAUGUACCUUGAAGCCUCAUCUCAUCCUCAGUAAUCUUCUGUCUU